UUUAAGCAUAUCACUCAGUGGAGGAAUCCCAAGCAACCGCGAUUGCUUCAGUAACGGCGAGUGAACUGGCAAAGCACAUGGCUCAACCUGAAGGAGACCAUACCCCCGUCACUGCCUCGGCAGGGAGCGGUCGGCUACUGUGGGUCUCAGAGGCUGUGGGUUCUGGAGCGGAUGGUGGUCCUGUGGGCUGGUUGUGAUGCCUGGAAUGGCCCUGGAAUGGCUCACAACAGAGGGAUACUGUCCCGUACACCAGCAGUGUGUCAUGACCGCCCACGGUCUGCCGUCUGUAUCCACGAGUAGAGCGGCUUGGGACUGCAGUUUGAAGCGUGGGGUGUAUCCCCCACAAGGAGAAAUACCACCGUGGGACCGAUAGUGCACAAGUAGAGUGAUUGAAGGAUGCAAAGAACUUUGCAAAGAGGGUUAAAAGUCCCUGAAGCCUCGGCAGGAACGGCGGUGUGCGGUGCUGUGGUGGAUACGGGCAGUGGUCCCAGUGCUGGUGGCUAUGACUCCGGUCCGGCCGUCACAGUGUGGAACCCUCUGUGUGAAGACAACCCGUGUGUCCCAAGCGGCCUUGGGCCAGCCCGGUGCCGGCCACUGAGCCCUCCCCCUUGGGGGUGGAUGCAGUCGUGGCGGUGACGCGGUGGCAAGCAAGCCUGCCAGGGCCUGAGGCUAUGUUUGAGGAGCGCUAUUGCAGCUGUGGGCAAUCCGUUUCCCCCCUCGGGGCAGUUGUGUUGCAGAGGCAAACCAUGGAGCGGUCGUAUACGGUGCUGGAACCUGGUGUGUCUCCGGGCAUGCCAGUCGCUGUUGCCCAGUCACGGCGGGGCUGGCGCUGACUCGGGGACUGCACCACCCGUUGGUGGUCCUCUGUCUGUGCCUGGCUCCCCGGAUGGUGCACAGUGCAGAUCAAGGCAGCCGAGCUUGGUGCAGCAGUGCCGCUCUCUGCCCGUCUUGAAACACGGACCAAGGAGUCUAUGGAGCUUGCAGGUUGGCUGGUGUGAUCAUGGAAAACCGGCAAGGCCUGGUGAAAGCAAUGUCACAGACCAGACGGUGUGCACACGGAUGGCGGUGGGGAUGUGGGACCCUCCGGACUCUGAGCCACGGGUGUGUGGGCAUGUGUGGCGUCCUCUCUGAUGAGGAGGGACUGUGGCUGUGACCCGCCCCGGCAAGGGCCUGAGUCUGUGGAGACCCUGUCCCUCCGCUGCUGUGUUGUACCUCUGCAUGGGCCACCGGCCCCGAUGUCCAGUGGACUGGGUUUUGAGUGAAUGCAAGGUCCAUGGGACCCGAAAGGUGGUGAACUAUACCGUUCCACGACGAAGCCAUGGGAAACUGUGGUGGAGGUCGGUCGCUGUUCUGACGUGCAAAUUGUGUAGCCUGAGUGCGGCAUAGGGGUGAAAGGCCAAUCGAGCCACCUAGUAGCUGGUUUCCCUCGAAGUUUCCCUCAGGAUAGCUGGGCUCGGAAUGCAACCCUGCCGAGUGGUUCCGUCCGGUAAAGCAACGCAUGAGAGGCAUCAGUGGGGAGUCUCUGCUCCUCAACCUAUUCUCGAACUGUGAAUGGGCGUGGCAAACCCAAAACAAAGGCAUGCUUCUUCACCUGUGCUGGAGUCCGGGUCACACCGGUCCUCCUGGCCCUUCUGAGCGUGUUUGUGGUGGCUUGUCUGCACAACCCCGGGGCACGGUGUGGGACCGGCGGUGUGUCUCCUCCGUGGAGCUGCCUGCCUCGGGACCCCGUGGACCCUCUGUCCCUCUGGUGAUUGGUGAGACGAGAUGUGCAGCUGCUGCUGUGGUGAACAAGUGUGCCUAUGUGGGCCAAGAUUGGUAAGCAGUGCUGGCGAUGCGGGGUGCUCCGAGAGUGGACUUACAGAUCCCGAGUGCUGGCUCAUACUCAGAUCCCACAAAGGGUGUCGCCUGCUAUGGAUAGCAGGUCGGUGGCCAUGAAGGUUGGAACCCGCUAAGGAAUGUGUAACAACUCACCUGCCGAAGUGCGCAGCCCCGAAAAUGGAUGGUGCCCAAGUCAGUGAAGCUGAAUUUGCCUUACAGUCCGCCGCCACUGUGGCAGCACUGAGCAGAGCAUUGUUGUGUAGAAAGGACAUGGGAGCCUGCAGCGCCUGCCGGGGGCAACCCCGGCUGGAGUGGCUUCUGGCGCAGAUCUUGGUUGUAGUAGCAAGUACUCCAUCUGACGAGGGGCGGAAAACCCGCCGUGUGUGGUUGAGGACUGGAGUGGAGCAGGUUUCCACACCAAACAGCCGUUGAAUGUGGGUCAACCGACCGUGAGCCAAGUGGUAAAUCACUGAACAACCAAAGCUGCCGUUCCCCCCGGGGACAACCACACAGCCCAGCCGCUGUGGCCCCGGGGUCUGGUCUGGCGGGAGUGGCAAACAGGCAAGCAUGUGCAACAUUCUGCUGUGACGGGCUUGGAGCCUCAUCUGAAGGGUGGCGACGCCACGUGAUCGGAGCAAGCAGGCUGCGGGGCAGUGCACCCCCCGGGGAGUUCUCGUUUCCUCCUGAUGCAGACUCAUGUGGGCUAUCGAUUGGCAUGACAGAUGGUGACCUAUGCCCUCCGUUCAGCAAGGCAGUACACCUCGUGUGUGCUGGUGGUGUGCAUGAAUGGAACACUGGUCCCGUCUGGGUAACCGGAAUGCUCUCUCUCUGGUGGUCACUGACUCCACUGAACCGCCUGUGGGGACACCGUGCUCCUGGUCCCUGGUUCUCGUACUGAAUCACCGCAGCCGGUCUCCCCGGCUAGACGCCGCUGGUCGACGGAUUGAAUGCAGCUAAGGGAAGUCGGCAAACUAGCCGUGUACCUUCGGAAGAUGCGGUGGCUCCAGAGACCAAGUCACUGGGCCUUUCUGUGGAUGGAUGUUCUCAACCGGGGAUGGCUGCCCCUUCUGGUGGCCCUCGGGCUCUGGUCUGGGGAUCCCAGCUGCCCCCGGUGAGCUCCGUGUUGUGGGAAGGGGCCGCUGUGCCCUCGGGUGCGGUGGUCCACCCCAGUGUCUACCAAGUGGUCCACAUGGAACUGUUGCUGUGCAGGGGAAUCUGACUGUUUAAUUGAAACCCAGCUUUGUGACGGGACCAGCUGGCUGAUCCCAUGAGGUGACUUCUGCCCAGUGCUCUGAUUGUCAAUGCAAAGAGAUUUAGCCAAGCGCGGGUAAACGGCGGGAGUAACUAUGACUCUCUUAAGGUAGCCAAAUGCCUCGUCAACCAAUUAUUGACGCGCAUGAAUGGAUCAACGAGAUUCCUGCUGUCCCUAGGUGCUGUCCGGUGAACCAACAGCCAAGGGAACGGGCUUGGAUGUGUCAGCGGGGAAAGAAGACCCUGUUGAGA
rnacentral:rRNA from 1 species